ACAUCCAGAGAAUUUAGCAGAGAUGCUUUUAGGUGCCUUCGGGAACUCUGAGACAGGUGCUGCAUGGCUGUCGUCAGCUCGUGUUGUGAAAUGUGGUUAAGUCCCGNAACGAGCGCAACCCUUAUCCUUUGUUGCCAGCACGUAAUGGUGGGAAACUCAAAGGAGACUGCCGGUGAUAAACCGGAGGAAGUGGGGAUGACGUCAAGUCAUCAUGGCCCUUACGAGUAGGGCUACACACGUGCUACAAUGGCGCAUACAAAGAGAAGCGACCUCGCGAGAGCAAGCGGACCUCAUAAAGUGCGUCGUAGUCCGGAUUGGAGUCUGCAACUCGACUCCAUGAAGUCGGAAUCGCUAGUAAUCGUAAAUCAGAAUGUUACGGUGAAUACGUUCCCGGGCCUUGUACACACCGCCCGUCACACCAUGGGAGUGGGUUGCAAAAGAAGUAGAUAGCUUAACCUUCGGGAGGGCGUUUACCACUUUGUGAUUCAUGACUGGGGUGAAGUCGUAACAAGGUAAGCGUAGUGCU
rnacentral:rRNA from 1 species